UGGCCUUAACCUCCUCCAGGGAGGGCACCGCGCUUCCUCUCAGCCGACUGCAGCCUCAUUUCCUGAGCUGGAGGAGGGAGCGGAAAGGCUGCCAGCAGGCCAGGCCGGGGGCUUUCCGGCGGUUCCCACCCCCACCCCCACCCCUGCACAGUAAGUCGGCCCUGCCCCUCCCAGGCCAGAGCAGCACCCACCUACUCUCCCCCCCUUGGGCCGGAAACCUCUAACGAGAGCGAAUUCCCCCCCCCACCACCCCGCCCUUCACCGAGGAGUGGGGGAGGGAGAGGCCGCUGAGCCCCUCCCCUGGCCGCGCCAGCCUCCGAAGGACUGAAUGAAUGAGCGGGGAGACAGGAGGAGGAGGAAAACCACUUUCCAGGCCCCGCGAGGCUCAGUUCCUUCAAAGGUCAAGCCGGCUCACCCGAGCGCCCAGUUCCCCCUUCGUCCGCCUCAGGUCCAGCCGCGGCAGGUCCGCCGGGCCGCGCGGCGUCCGCCUUCCCCGCGCACCCGACGCCGCCCCGGCUUCCACCCACCGCACACAGGCUCCAAACUCGGGUGCCGGGACAGGCCAGGGCUUGCUGGGCCCCAGCCUCCGAAGAGCCCGGCUCUGCAGCCUCCGCUCCGCUCCGGGUGGGCCCAGGUAGGUUCUCUCCCACCCUAACCCACCGCCUGAAAGUCAAGGCAGGGAAUUCCGGGGGUGAGGGAAAAGGCCAGGAUGGCGGACUUCUCGUUUCCUUGGCAUCGGUACGGAUCUCGUCCUUCCCCCGUCACCUUGGAGGGUCACUGUGCACCAGCGAUUCACCGACCUGCCAGGCCUUCCGAACCUUGAGUAAUUUAGGUAUGGUAAUCAGUCGUCACAUUUCUCUGUGCAGGUGAGAAAGAUUUUAUCACGAAGGAGUCCUCUCUUACAGAUCACUGUUCCCAGACCCUUUGUGCAACAGCCACGUGAGUGCCUAGCAAACGUCCUGUGGAACCGAGCCUCUGUUCGGUGAUAACUAAACAGUUGCACUGCCACUUCUACCUUCAGGCGCCCUGAGUUAGAAACCGCCUCCCAGUCCCUGCCACGUGGGACUUCUGGAAGCACAAUAGUAAAGAGACUUGAAAAUUUUACCUCCUGUUCUCUCCUACUUGUUUGUACUGUACGCCUGCCUUCCCUGUAAGCCAUCAUAUCAAAUGUGUCCUCUGCUGCGACUCUCUUUUCCCCUCAAAAUUAUGGUGCGGAGCAGGACUCAGGAUUAAGACUCCUGAUCCCUGAAAUGACUGGUACGUAAGACAGGUGCUGCCCUCAACGCCUGGUUCUGAAGACACUCCCUCCAGAGGCUUCCUCUUCCUAUUUCCUUUUAGAAAUACUGAGCAAUGAGCUGUUUAGAGGAAACAAUUCAAACAGUAAGUAAUUUGCUUGGUAGAGUACGCUGUGUACUGUUUUUUCCCUCCUGGAACUGGGAAGGAAGAACAGGGAGUAAACUCUACCCUGAUGGCCUAAGAGUUUUUCCAGCUCUUCUCGGAGAAGUCUGGUCAGAGAGAAGAUGGAAACAGAAGCGAGACUUUGGCAUCUGGGUGAUGAUCAGCAGGGGGCGCUGUUUACCUCCCUUUGCCCUAGUGAAGCGGCCGGCGCCCUCAACGCAGACCAACCCAAGGCUGCUCAGAGCACCGCUGUAUUCCUGAGUCUGGUAGAUGUGAACAGAUAAUCUUCUCUUGAUCCAGGGAAACAGGUGGAUUGACUCCUGAUACCCUUUAAAGGCAUGAUGGACGGGCAGCAAAGGGCCCAGUGCUAAUGUUGUCCUGGUGACCAACAAUACAACAAUGUAUCAGCAGGUGUAAGUGUCCAUCCCCCACCCCUCUCACGUCUGGUCUUACUCUUUGUCCUAACCUUGCACUCCUCUUUCCCCUUGCUUUACCCUAAUGAGCUGCUGACUUCCCCUCGGGUUGAGAAGCCCUUACACACGUGAAUGUUCUUACUGCCAUUGAACUGUACCCUUAGAAGUGGUUAAAAUGGCAAACGUGA